UCCUCUGGAAGAUUUUUUUCGUAAGACAAAAUUUAAGGUGUGAGCAGAGCCAUUAAAAAUUGUUAUGUGUAGGACAUGACCGGGAGAGACAGGUACAGUUACUGUAUAGCAACUGAAGUUGAUUUCCGGAAAUUAGUUCAAACAGCUAAUGAAUCAAAAGAAAUAAUAUGGACCAGCCAAUUAGCAACAUCAAAGCAUGCACACAUUAGAAGGAGAAGGAAGUGAGUAUACCUAGAUAUACAAAAUAGGGAUUUAGAUUGUGGCUAUGUUUUC
rnacentral:lncRNA from 1 species